rnacentral:lncRNA from 1 species
CACGCGAACAUUUAGACGCAGCUUAUUCCGUUUGUGGGAUUACGAAAUGAGUGGGCUUUUCUUGUUUUUUCACGAACAUAGCUGCAAUCAUGGUUGAAAACAGGAGUGGAAAUUACUGAUGAGCCAGGAGCACGGUUACAUUUGGAAAGACGGGUGCUCACAUACUUCGUGAAGAGGAACUUGUUCAACUUUUCAUCGUGUGAUGUACAGUCUCUCAGAACUAUGUAUCACUUGGUGCAGUGAUGCAGCAUAUGGUACCAGUGAUCUUUUGCAGAGUUCUUGUUCUGAACUAUGUUGUGUUUUUUAUUAGUAUUAUCACAGCCCAUAUAAAGCAAAGGUAAGUCACAUACAUAAAUGCAUAUGUUGCAAUUAAAGGGGUUAUUAACACAUGCAAUGUAUGGUCAUAGAUACAUUUGAGAGCAAUUUUUCUAAAUGUGGUUUUUGGGCACUAGAUGGGACACACAGAAGAAAAAAUGCACACACAUCAUCACUGCACUUCAGGUUUUCGACUGAUUUAGAAUGUUAUGCUGAUGAACUUGUUGACUACGACUUGUGUAUCUCAGUUAUGUUUUGUGCAACAAAAACCUCUUCCAGAUCAGGCCUUGGGUCCCUGCCGCCACUUAGCUGCACAGAUGUGGAUGUGCAUGGGGCACAAAAAAGAAACUUGUGCAGAAUAUGUAUGCACCUGCACCCAUCCGGACAUAUUGCCAUGUGAAGCUGCCUGUCCCUCCUCCGCAAGUUCCAAUGACUGAUGCCGCACAGAUGUUGUAGAUCCUCCAAAGCAGUGCUCCAAGUUCUGCUAUUGCAGUGUUCAAAAAACGCAGAAGAGGGCAAGACAGCUCCACAACAGAGUCUCGGACCAAGAAUGCCAAACAAGCCUGCCGUUCCGCCCCACUUCCUAUGUUGGAAAUGCUGAGGGCUCAAGCAAAUGAACUGAAGCAGAAGGCACCAGAAGAUGUCAUGCUCCAUGUGUGUGAAUUGUAUGGUGGAGAGCGUGCCAGGAGUGAGAUUGAAUCCUUGACACAGGGACAGUAGAAUUCUCCAGAAUGGCACAGAUAUCGAAAGGGCCUUGUAACUGCAAGCAUUGCUCAUGCCUGUAUGACUCGAGCGAAGACUUUUCUUCGUUCGAAAGGUGCGGCCAACAUUGACCCAUUUCUUAUGCUUAUUUUAAGAAGCAGAACUGUUAUAACACCAGCAAUGCAUGUUGGUAUUUCGAAGGAAAGUGCAGCGCGUAUUGCAUACAAAACCUGGCAAGAAGCGCUGGGGCACACGCUUAAGGUGCGUCAGAGAGGGCUGGUUUUGUGCGAAGAAUUUCCCUUCAUAGGUUGUUCCCC